GUCGAACGACUCGGACUAUGGCGAGAAGUGGCAAACUGCUCAGUAACACGUAGCUAACCUACCCUCAGGACGGAGACAACCCCGGGAAACUGGGGUUAAUCCCCGAUAGGCGUGGAUUCCAGGAAUGGUGCCACGCCGAAACGUUAACACACCAUGUUUGUGUACACGCCUGAGGAUGGGGCUGCGGCCGAUCAGGCAGUUGGUGAGGUAACGGCUCACCAAACCUUUGACCGGUACGGGCCGUUAGAGCGGUAGCCCGGAGAUGGACACUGAGACAAGGGUCCAGGACCUACGGGUCGCAGCCGGUACGAAACCUCCACAAUGCACGCGAGUGCGAUGGGGUUACCUCGAGUGCCGUCUGAAGAAGGCGGCUUUUCCAUUGUGUAAUGAGCCGUGGGAAUAAGGGGGGGGCAAGACUGGUGUCAGCCGCCGCGGUAACACCAGCCCCCCGAGUGGUGGGGAUGUUUAUUUGGCCUAAAACGUCCGUAGCCAGCUAGGUAAAUCUCUCGUUAAAUCCAGCGUCCUAAGCGUUGGGCUGCGAGAGAGACUGCCAAGCUAGAGGGUGGGAGAGGUCAGCGGUAUUUCUGGGGUAGGGGCGAAAUCCAUUGAUCCCAGGAGGACCACCAGUGGCGAAGGCUGCUGACUAGAACACGCCUGACGGUGAGGGACGAAAGCUGGGGUAGCGAAUCGGAUUAGAUACCCGAGUAGUCCCAGCCGUAAACGAUGCAGGCUAGGUGUUGGGUUGGCCACGUGCCGACUCA
rnacentral:rRNA from 1 species